rnacentral:lncRNA from 1 species
CCGACACACUAAACCAACCUCAAUUUCAUUUUUGACAACUCUAAUUCAAACCCCAUGAGUUAGGGCUUUUUAAAAAUAAAUUAUUCAAUCAAAAGAAAAUUUUCGAAUAAACUUUUGGUUGCAAAUUGUGCACAAUUGUUUUAGAUGAUUUGUUUGGGAUAUUGUGGAUAUGAUAGCUUAAUUGAAAUAAACAUCAGUACAUUACCAUGGAUAACGGUUCUUAAUCGUUACCCGACUCCAUUGUCUAUAAUCAAUGAACAAUCUCUAAGUCCAUUUUCUUCCUCACCAACAAACUGGGGCUCCUCAAAAAUGUUGUACUAGGUUGAAUGAAACUUUUAUCAACCAAUUCUUUCAACUGAAUUUCCAAUUCCCUUAACUCAUCCUGAACCAAUCUUUAACAUAGAUUUAUACCUGGCAACAAAUCAAUAGUGAACCUCAUAUCUCUGCCUGAAGGCAAUCCAGGUAUACUUUCAGGGAAGACAUCAAGAAAAGUCUAACCCCUUUUUGACAUUAUUCACACUACUCCAAACAACAUCAUUUAGCACCACACGAGCUAAUAUUUUUGACAGCCUUUCGAAAACAAUCUCUUUGCUCUCACAGCAUAAAUAACGGCAUGACUCAAUCCACUUUGCAUACUUACAAAAGUAAUCUCUGGUCAUCCAGAUCGAUGGAAAGUACUGGUUUCCCUUAACAUUCCGUCUUGUCACAAUUAUAACCAACCAAUCUAAUGGAAAUAAUUUAACCGACACAAUACAUACUCUAUUACUACUAAGCAUUCUGAAUAAGUACAAUACUAACAUAAAAUAAUCUACCGGUUUGCUUGCUUAACGAAUCCACGAAUGAGUUAUUAAUAUUACGGUCUGCAGCCCGCAAUACUGAUAAAUCAUCGUUGUCUCGAUAAGUAGGCAACCACUCUCAAAGAUAUAACAUUANNNN